CCCUUAGAUGUUCUGGGCCGCACGCGCGCUACACUGAUGCAUUCAACGAGUCUAAAACCUGCUCUGAUAGGGGUGGGUAAUCUUUUGAAUGUGCAUCGUGAUUGGGAUAGAUGAUUGCAAUUUUUCAUCUUCAACGAGGAAUGCCUAGUAAACGCAAGUCAUCAGCUUGCAUUGAUUACGUCCCUGCCCUUUGUACACACCGCCCGUCGCUCCUACCGAUUGAAUGAUCCGAUGAAUAUCAUGGAUUGAGGAUUAUAGCAGGUUCGCCUGUCUUGAUCUUCGAGAAGUGAAGUAAAUCCUAUCAUUUAGAGGAAGGAGAGGUCGUAACA
rnacentral:rRNA from 1 species